UCCUUCUUUUUCUCUCUUUCUCCUUCCUUCCUUUUCUUCCAUCUCACUCAUUCUUUUCGCCAAGUUUGGAGUGACAGUUGUCGGCUCAACCGACAAAGGACUUCAAAAACUGGUGAACUUGAGGACGAGAGAGGAACAUGGAACUCCAGGUGUAGUAGUGAAAUGCGUAGAUAUCUGGAAGAACACCAAUGGCGAAGGCAAUGUUCUGGCUCGUUUCUGACGCUCAGGUGCGAAAGCCAGGGGAGCGAACGGG
rnacentral:rRNA from 1 species